UGGGGAAUAUUGCACAAUGGGCGCAAGCCUGAUGCAGCCAUGCCGCGUGUAUGAAGAAGGCCUUCGGGUUGUAAAGUACUUUCAGCGAGGAGGAAGGCAUUAAGGUUAAUAACCUUGGUGAUUGACGUUACUCGCAGAAGAAGCACCGGCUAACUCCGUGCCAGCAGCCGCGGAAAUACGGAGGGUGCAAGCGUUAAUCGGAAUUACUGGGCGUAAAGCGCACGCAGGCGGUCUGUCAAGUCGGAUGUGAAAUCCCCGGGCUCAACCUGGGAACUGCAUUCGAAACUGGCAGGCUAGAGUCUUGUAGAGGGGGGUAGAAUUCCAGGUGUAGCGGUGAAAUGCGUAGAGAUCUGGAGGAAUACCGGUGGCGAAGGCGGCCCCCUGGACAAAGACUGACGCUCAGGUGCGAAAGCGUGGGGAGCAAACA
rnacentral:rRNA from 1 species